GAUGAACGCUGGCGGCGUGCCUAAUACAUGCAAGUCGAGCGAACAGACGAGGAGCUUGCUCCUCUGACGUUAGCGGCGGACGGGUGAGUAACACGUGGAUAACCUACCUAUAAGACUGGGAUAACUUCGGGAAACCGGAGCUAAUACCGGAUAAUAUAUUGAACCGCAUGGUUCAAUAGUGAAAGACGGUUUUGCUGUCACUUAUAGAUGGAUCCGAGCCGCAUUAGCUAGUUGGUAAGGUAACGGCUUACCAAGGCGACGAUGCGUAGCCGACCUGAGAGGGUGAUCGGCCACACUGGAACUGAGACACGGUCCAGACUCCUACGGGAGGCAGCAGUAGGGAAUCUUCCGCAAUAGGCGAAAGCCUGACGGAGCAACGCCGCGUGAGUGAUGAAGGUCUUCGGAUCGUAAAACUCUGUUAUUAGGGAAGAACAAAUGUGUAAGUAACUAUGCACGUCUUGACGGUACCUAAUCAGAAAGCCACGGCUAACUACGUG
rnacentral:rRNA from 1 species